UGAGCAAUCUGCCCUUCUCCUCGGAAUAAGCGUUGGAAACGACGUCUAAUGCCGAAUACGACCUCCUUUCGCAUGAUCGGAGGUGGAAAGCUCCGGCGGAGAAGGAUGAGCUCGCGGCCUAUCAGCUAGUUGGUGUGGGUAAUGGCCCACAAGGCGACGACGGGUAGCCGGCCUGAGAGGGUGACCGGCCACACUGGGACUGAGACACGGCCCAGACCUCCCGUACGGGGAGNAGCG
rnacentral:rRNA from 1 species